CAAAACUAAUUUUGAAUUCUAUUCGAAUUUGGAAUUGUAAGUUAAGAAAAUGAUAAAAAUAUAGAUGAAGAGAGAACAAACCGGUUUGACCCAAUCUCACUCACGUGGCCUACAUUCUCUUCUCUCUCCCCAUAACCCGUCUUGUUUCUUUCCAUUUAUAAUUCUUGUACAAACUACUGGUAACAGCCGGGGGACGUAUGUUCCUUCCAUGUCAGACACCGACACGUGGGGCACCCUGCAUACGAGCACGAACGCUGAACCAUCCCAGAAAAAUCGUCGGUGCCUGUAACAACCGCGUAACAACCGGGCAUGAGCCGACAGAUGGCGUUACAGGUUUAUAAAACCCGAUUCCCAUGUGCCUUCCGCCAUAACCAGGCUUGGGAGCUAGCGCAACCUUGCAUGGAUGAUUACGCUGAAGCACAGCGACGAGUAGGAGAGAGAGAAUAGAGCCGCUGCGACCACGCCUCGCGUUCACCAUCUCCCAGCCUCUCGAUCGCUGGGGAAUUGGGCGAGAUCACCAAGUCGUGCAGAUCGUGCGUGUGGUCAGCAGAGCAAGGAAGUUGGCGGGGGAGACGAAUUGCUUGCCGGUGCUUGGCCGAAUCCUCACCGGGAAUCCUCGGGCGGCACUGCAGCGUCGACCGGCCGCAUCGACGUCUUUUCGAGUGGUGAGACCCUACUAAAUUACUCGCCGUAGCAUCCGCAUAGAUGAUCCCCAUUCAAUUUCCGAAUUUAGACCUAGAAAUCGGCAGGGUUGGUUCGCCACCAAUGGCGACGUCGUGCCUUAGCGUUCUGUCGCCGGUCGGGCACCGUGGUGAGAGAGAGAGGAUUGGGGGGGAGAAAAAUGAAGGGCUUGGGCUGUUGGAUCAUACACGGACGGCGCCGAUCUAACCACGCAUACCCCUUCGCUCAAUAGGAUUUGGGCCGUAGAUCUGAGAUCAAGCGAUCAGGAUUUGAUCAUAGUCAUUCUUAAUCUGGACUGACGAUCUUUAAUCCGGUGGUCCUCAUGGCUUACCGGUUCAUUUUUAAUGAAGUCUAAUCCUGGCCGUGGAAUUUAGAUCUGACGGCUGAAGUCAGCCCGUACCCCUUCGGCCGGGGAUAAUUGCAUGUGAGCCCUCAUAAAACUAUCAAAUAAACCCGUCGUCCACUCACGUGGAAAACUAAUUAAAUCUAGGUCCUGAGUUUCACAGUUUAGACCCUGUGUUUUCUAGAAAUUGUGUUCGCAGGCCAGAAUUAAUAGGGAUAUUCAUAAUUAAAUCAGAAAAUGAUUUUUUUUAUAAAAAUAAAUCUAGGAACUUGUUUAAUUCAUAGUUAAUUCAUUUUAGCUCCAGAUUGAGUUAUUCCAGUUGCAAUAAUUUUGUUUUAAUAUUAUCUUUCAUCUAGUGCUUCUGUUUAGCCAUAAAACUUGAAUUAAAAAUGUUCAUUUGAAUUAAUCUAUUCUAGGUGCUUAACAACUCCAGAAAUUCAUAACUUGUUAACCGUAACUCCGAAUUUAGUAAUUCUUGUUCUUAUGAUCUCGUUACGCAGCUUAGAAUAUUAUUAUGUAGUUUGAUCUUAUAUUUGGUGUGAUGUUAAUUUUGCAUAUACAUGUUUGUCUGUAUUGCUACGUUUAGCAAUGAGGACACAAGUUACCUGAAGAUCAUCCUGGUACCUGGAAUCUCAUGUCCCAGGCAAGUUGUGCCCUUGAUCACUUCUUUUUACCCAGUCAUGUUCUGAUUAAUCAUAAUGAUCUGCAUAGGUUAAUUUUGAUGGGACCCAAUAGGUUACCCUAGUUUGAUUAUCUUUAUACCUUGAUUACCACUGGACUUUUUGGGUAGUACCUGCUAUUGCUUUAUGUGGUUUUGGGUAUGAAGAUUACAUUAUUCAUGAUUACACUUUUGUUAUUAGUUGUUAUUUACUAUUCAUGAUAAGAUCAUUAUGUUAAUUGGAACAUGGAGAACCACCCGGGAAAACAGUGCUACCACAAGGGUUUAUGGACGCCCUUGGCUGAUUAACUAGGAAAGCUAGUGGAGGUCUACCUUACCCGAAAGGGGCAAGGGCAGUAGGGGAGUGGUCAGUGUAGGAAGGUCCUUAGUUGAUUUUGCUGCGAUGGCGGUCAGGCAAGAACCCUGCAUUGGAGCUUCCUAUAAACUGUAGCGGGAUUUCUGAAGCUAGUGGACCUUUGUAAAGGCCUCGUAGUGUUACCCUGCCUCGCCUCCUCGGUAGAGGUGUAUGGGAUUGGCCGUCUCUUGGCAGAUGGGUAACAUGACUUGUGGGUAAAGAUGCGCAACCUCUGCAGAGUGUAAAACUGGUAUACUAGCCGUGCUCACGGUCAUGAGCGGCUCGGACACUCACAUGAUUAAAUUAUGGAACUUAAACUCAAUUUGUCAUAUGCAUUGCAUCGCAGGUGAGGUUGUUACUUUUAUUCUACUAAAUUGGGCUGGUAUUUACUUAUACUUAGUAAUUGCUAAUAAAAUUUUGACCAACUUUAAAAGCAAUGCUUAGCUCUAACCAUCCUCUUUGGUAAGCCUUACACUUCACGUGAGCUCCCACCUUUGGCGAGUUCAUGCACAUUAUUCCCCACAACUUGUUGAGCGAUGAACGUAUGUGAGCUCACUCUUGCUGUCUCACACCCCCCCCACAGGUCAAGAACAGGUACCACAGGAUGAGGCGCUUGGAGGAUGCUGUGACAAGUUCGUGAGAGGUCUAGGUCGUCGUCUCCCAGUCAACUUUGGGUUGCUGGACCGUUGUCUCCAUAUAAUGUAUUUAUUUAUUUAUUUUGUACAAAACUCCGAUUAUAUAGUAAAGAUGUGACAUUCGAUCAUGUGCCAUGAUUCAUCAUAUGUGUGAGACUUGGUCCCAGCACACCUGGUGAUUAUGUUCGCGCACGAGUCUUGGUGCCCCGAAACCCGGGUGUAACAAUUACAUAGACGUGGUUGAAAUGUUUCGGUGGUAGGUCGUAGUAUGGUUGUGUUCAUGAUUUUGAGUUAGAGAUUGGUGGUUGACGAUUCGUAUAAAUUGGUUGAUGAUGUGCAUGUGUGAUUAUAUGUGUAAAAAAAUUGUAUUGGUAUGGAUGGAAGUUUGUAGUGAAAGAAAAUGAGUAAGGAACUGGGCUCGGAUGUUUUUAAGUUUUGG
rnacentral:lncRNA from 1 species